GAGUCUGAUCUAUCGAGCUGGGUAUGUUUGGAAAGCUACAGAACAGUAGUCACAGAAAGACUGCGUGAGACAGAGUCCUAGCCUGUCUGUCCGGCCAGUCGAACCUCAUGUGUUUGCUGCUUUCAUUUCCCCUUGGCUCAGGAAGCGACAGUUUGGUUUUGCAAAGGAAGGCUGGGGACCUCUGCCAGCUUGCUAACAGCCUUGCCCCAUUCAGAUGCAUCGAACUCACAGAACAUCGCUCCCCAGCUGCCGGCCCGCAGUUCGGAGAGUGCCUGAAUAGAAAACCACUCAUUUCCCUUCGCGAAAGAGGCGCCCAAAACAGAUAUUUCAAUAUAUUCCAAUUUAGCCGAGGGAAGCCAGAACAUGGAUGUUGUUGCCAAGGAAACCACCUCGUCCUCCUGUGUGCUGUGCAUACGUGUAUCACUUCAUCUCUCUGCUCUCCAAGCUGGAAUCCAGGUCUGACGUGGGUAUCCUGCCCCAGUUCUGGAGUCUGCCUGGUGCCCCAGCCGAACCUGCCCUGGCUCCUGGGUGGGGUAUGGACAUCCAUGCCAUCCCCCCACCAACACCCCACCAAGCUGGGAUGCAAAACAGGUUAUGGCGGCCCCAUGGCUUCCUUCUUUGGUAAGCCACAGGUCUUCCUUGCUAACUGCUUUGCUGUUGGUCAUUGCAGAGAAAUAGUUAGGGGACAAUGAGAACCACCUGAGAUGUGGCAAAGGCUCUAGGACCUUGUCGUCUGCUGAAGCUCCAGUCCUUGUGCUGCCUCUCCUGAGUGGCAUCUGUGAUGGCAAACAAAAGUCUCCUCGGGCUUCACCCCUGCUUUCUUUGUAAGUGGUACUUAUCCCCCACCGCCUCCCAGCCUUCUUCUGACCAGCUCCCUCUUCUGAUAGGUUUAUUUCCAUGAAGUUCUUCAGGGUUAGAAACAUGAACUUUUAGAACUGGGUGACUGAAGUUGGAAUCCAUCUCCACCACUAACUAGCUGUGCGACCUUGGAUAUGUUACUUAAAUUCCAUGCCUCAGUUUCCUUUUCUGUGAAAUGGGCAUAAUAAUAUCUACCUAGC